rnacentral:rRNA from 1 species
AUUGAACGCUGGCGGCAUGCCUUACACAUGCAAGUCGAACGGCAGCACGGGAGCUUGCUCCUGGUGGCGAGUGGCGAACGGGUGAGUAAUACAUCGGAACGUACCCAGUAGUGGGGGAUAACGCACCGAAAGGUGCGCUAAUACCGCAUACGACCUACGGGUGAAAGCGGGGGACCGUAAGGCCUCGCGCUAUUGGAGCGGCCGAUGUCUGAUUAGCUAGUUGGCGGGGUAAAAGCCAACCAAGGCGAUGAUCAGUAGCUGGUCUGAGAGGACGAUCAGCCACACUGGGACUGAGACACGGCCCAGACUCCUACGGGAGGCAGCAGUGGGGAAUUUUGGACAAUGGGGGCAACCCUGAUCCAGCAAUGCCGCGUGUGCGAAGAAGGCCUUCGGGUUGUAAAGCACUUUUGUCAGGGAAGAAAUCUUUCAGGCUAAUACCCUUGGAAGGAUGACGGUACCUGAAGAAUAAGCACCGGCUAACUACGUGCCAGCCGCCGCCGUAA